AUGUGAUUUAAUUUCAAAGAGUAAACAAAUUAAGACCAUUCACGAUUGACUGAGCUAAAUUGAAUUUUCAUUUUACAUUUAUUUUGGUUUAUCAGUCUUGAUAUAUUUAGAAGUAUUCCAACCUUUUUCUAUACACAAUAAGUGAACAUUAAAGGAAUUUACCAAUGAUGUGAAUCAUAUUUUAGCUGUUGUAAAGUUGUUAAUAAAUAAGAGACCUAAGCUUGAAAAAGAUUUGGUUUUAGCAUUUGAAGAGAUUCUUCAUGACCAAAGCAGAGAUUUCAUGAAUCAAAUGCGUGACACUUAUGAUACGUUUUAAGAUUAAUUUUUUAACAGAAAAUUUUUUCAAUAAUAUUUUUGUGUGGAAGUUAUUUAUUGUAAAUUGUAAAAAAUUGUUUUAUUAUUCAUGUUUGAUAAUUUUU
rnacentral:lncRNA from 1 species